rnacentral:rRNA from 1 species
AGAGUUUGAUCCUGGCUCAGAACGAACGUUGGCGGCGUGGAUUAGGCAUGCAAGUCGAACGAAUCCCUGGGGGCUUGCUCCCAGGGGGAAGUGGCGAAAGGGGCAGUAAGGCGUGGGUAACCUACCCCGGGGACGGGCAUAGCCGUCCUAACGGACGGGUAAUUCCUGGCGAUCUGACGGAGGGGCAUCUUUCUGUCAGGAAAGGAGUUUCGCCUCGGGAGGGGCUCACGUAGUAUUAGCUGGUUGGUGGGGUAACGGCCUACCAAGGCGAAGAUGCUUAGCGGGUGUGAGAGCACGACCCGCGCCACUGGCACUGAGACACUGGCCAGACUCCUACGGGAGGCUGCAGUCGAGGAUCUCCGGCAAUGGGCGCAAGCCUGACCGAGCGACGCCGCGUGUGCGGUGAAGGCCUUCGGGUUGUAAAGCACUGUCGAGGGGAAGAAAGCCGCAAGGUUGAUCGACCCCUGGAGGAAGCACGGGCUAAGUUCGUGCCAGCAGCCGCGGUAAGACGAACCGUGCGAACGUUGUUCGGAUUCACUGGGCUUAAAGGGCGCGUAGGCGGGUGGCUAAGUCAGGGGUGAAAUCUUUCGGCUCAACCGGAAAAGUGCCUUUGAUACUGGUCACCUCGAGGAAGGUAGGGGCAUGUGGAACUUCCGGUGGAGCGGUGAAAUGCGUAGAUAUCGGAAGGAACGCCGGUGGCGAAAGCGACGUGCUGGACCUUUUCUGACGCUGAGGCGCGAAAGCCAGGGGAGCAAACGGGAUUAGAUACCCCGGUAGUCC